rnacentral:sRNA from 1 species
GAUAAUAGAUAGGUGACUCAAGGGUGGUUGGCUCACUCCCGCUUUGAAAGGGGGUGGUGCCAGUGACAGUAUUUGAAGGAUUAAUGUUUGCAGUAUCAUUCGCAGCAUUGAUUGUUUCAAUUCUUUCAUUUAACCAUAAAAAAUAACCCAUCCUUGAGUUAAAGGCUCAGAUGGGUUAUAUACCUGAAAACAGCCAGUCCCUUUGUGGGAACCUGCUAUUACGAGACUACAUGAUGUACCACCAUCAUGUAGU